rnacentral:rRNA from 1 species
AGUGAACGCUGGCGGUAGGCCUAACACAUGCAAGUCGAACGGCAGCACAGUAAGGGUUGGCCUUUAGGGUUGGCGGGGGGCGGAGGGGGAAGGAAUACAUGGGAUUCAACUUUUUCGGGGGGAACAACGUGGGAAAACUACGGCUAAAACGGAAUACAACUAACGGGGGAAAGCAGGGGAUAUUGGGACUUUGGGGGAUGGAUGGAGCGGAUGUCGGAUUAGCUAGUUGGCGGGGUAAAGGCCCACCAAGGCGACGAUCCGUAGCUGGUCUGAGAGGAUGAUCAGCCACACUGGAACUGAGACACGGUCCAGACUCCUACGGGAGGCAGCAGUGGGGAAUAUUGGACAAUGGGCGCAAGCCUGAUCCAGCCAUACCGCGUGGGUGAAGAAGGCCUUCGGGUUGUAAAGCCCUUUUGUUGGGAAAGAAAAGCAGCAGGUUAAUACCCCGCUGUUCUGACGGUACCCAAAGAAUAGGCACCGGCUAACUUCGUG